rnacentral:rRNA from 1 species
GACGGAGGUGCCGAGCGUUAGGCGGAAUCACUGGGCUUAAAGCGUGUGUAGGCGGGUCGUUAAGUGUCUUGUGAAAUCCCCCGGCUCAACCGGGGAAUGGCUGGGCAUACUGGCGAUCUUGAGCAGUCUAGGGGCAGAUGGAACAAGUGGUGGAGCGGUGAAAUGCGUAGAUAUCACUUGGAACGCCAAAGGUGAAAACAGUCUGCUGGGGACUUGCUGACGCUCAGGUGCGAAAGCCAGGGGAGCGAACGGG